UACGUAGGGUGCGAGCGUUGUCCGGAAUUACUGGGCGUAAAGAGCUCGUAGGUGGUUUGUCGCGUUGUUCGUGAAAUCUCACGGCUUAACUGUGAGCGUGCGGGCGAUACGGGCAGACUAGAGUACUGCAGGGGAGACUGGAAUUCCUGGUGUAGCGGUGGAAUGCGCAGAUAUCAGGAGGAACACCGGUGGCGAAGGCGGGUCUCUGGGCAGUAACUGACGCUGAGGAGCGAAAGCGUGGGGAGCGAACAGGAUUAGAUACCCUGGUAGUCCACGCCGUAAACGGUGGGUACUAGGUGUGGGUUUCCUUCCCUUGGGAUCCGUGCCGUAGCUAACGCAUUAAGUACCCCGCCUGG
rnacentral:rRNA from 1 species